rnacentral:rRNA from 1 species
ACUUUGAAGAGAGAGUUCAAAAGUGCGUGAAACCCUUCUGGGGUAAACGUGAAAAGUCCGAAAGGUCGAACGGGUGAUAUUCACGCCCAUCUGGCCACUGGCCCCCGCCCUCGGCAGAUGGGGCCGGCCGCCCGCGCGGAGCAAUCCGCGGUGGGGUCGUGUCCAGUUGCCUUUCCACUCACCGCGGGGUGGGGCCGUUCCAGUGUGCGGUGGGCCGCACUUCUCCCCUAGUAGGACGUCCAGAGCCGCUGGGUGCUGCCCUACGGCCCGGGUGCGCCCCUGUCCUUCUGCACGCCUCGGUUCGCGUCUGUUGGGCACAUCCCCGGUGUCCUGGCUGGCUGCUCGUGGGUAAUCUGGAUGAGUCGAUUCGCUCCUUUGGGCUCUCGGGCUCCCAGCAAGCUCGCGCGUUUCUUCCCGGAUGACCGACCUACCUGGCCGGGCUCUGUCCCUGAACCGCUGUUGGCUCGGGAUGCUCUCGGGCGGAAAAAUCUGUUCGCUCAGGAGGCUCUCGGCUGUAAAAAUUUCUCCCACCCGUCUUGAUACACG